GUAUAUAAACAUGACAACAUGUAACCAAGAAUAUCAAAGAAAAAAAAAAAACAAAUUCAAAAUCGUAUCGAAAAAAUUAAUGGAGAUGAAAUAUUUAACGAUGAUAGUAUUGUUUUUUGGAGUAAUGUUGCAAGAAGGCAUGAGUCAAACUAGGGAUUCAUCAUCAUGUAUGAGCAAGUUACUCCCAUGUAUGAAUUAUUUAAAUGAAGCAAAAGGUGAUCCACCACAAAGUUGUUGUAAUCCAUUAAAAGAAGUAAUUAGAAAAAUGCCAGAAUGUUUAUGUCAAAUGGUAAGUAUUAAAGGGAGUAAAGCAGCAGAACAAGCUGGAAUUGAUGUUAAUGAGGCACAAAUGUUACCUGCUAAAUGUGGACAGCCUGUUAAUUAUAUGGGAUGUCUUAAAGGUGCAUCAAAUUCUGCUGGAAAAUCAAUGGGGAUCACUAUAACCAUGAAAGUAUUUUUGGUGGUUGUUUCUAUGAUUUUAUUUCAAUUUUUGUGAUAAUCAUCGUUAUGUUAUUACCUUUUUUUGCAUUAAUUGUUGAAUAUUGAAUUAAUUUACAUUUUAUUUGCUUUGGUGUUAUGUUUAAUAUCUCAAUUGUAUGAUCUAUCGACAUGCUUUCUCUA